rnacentral:tRNA from 2 species
GCCGAUGUGGUGGAACUGGUAGACACGCACGUUUGAGGGGCGUGUAGGGUAACCUAUGGGGGUUCGAGUCCCCCCGUCGGCA